rnacentral:rRNA from 1 species
CUAAGAAUAUUCCGCAAUGGACGAAAGUCUGACGGAGCGACGCCGCGUGGAUGACGAAGGCCGAAAGGUUGUAAAGUCCUUUUGCCGGGGAAGAAUAACCAUGGGAGGAAAUGCCCGUGGGAUGACAUGAACCGGCGAAUAAGCCCCGGCUAACUACGUGCCAGCAGCCGCGGUAACACGUAGGGGGCAAGCGUUGUUCGGAAUUACUGGGCGUAAAGGGCAUGUAGGCGGCUCGAUAAGCCCGGCGUGAAAGUCCACGGCUCAACCGUGGGAUUGCGUUGGGAACUGCCGAGCUUGAAUCAUGGAGAGGGAGCUAGAAUUCCUGGUGUAGGGGUGAAAUCUGUAGAGAUCAGGAAGAAUACCAGUGGCGAAGGCGAGCUCCUGGCCAAUGAUUGACGCUGAGGUGCGAAAGUGUGGGGAUCAAACAGG